UUGGCUGUGCAGAAACUUUUUAACUUAAAUGGCCUUCUUCAGUGCCCAGAGAAUGCUGGCUGGUCCUCCUUGGUACCCACCUCUGUUGUAUGCCUGAUAAAGAGGCGUUCACUUGAUUUGUUACAGGCCUGUUUCCUUCACAGAAUCCACGAGAACAUACUGCCAAAACCCUUCGUCUGGUGUGGAAAGCAUGAAGGACACUGCCCUCAGCCCAAGGCCUCUGCUUAAAAAGUUUGAAAGCAUUGUCUGCCUGCCUCCAUCUCCUGAGUCCUGUCCUGUGGACCAGAAAAAGGUGAUGCUCACACCCUUAUGCCAUCUCGUGCUGUCUUUGUUCCAUCAGCAACCGCGUGUGGCUGUCUGUGGUCAACGUUUAUUGCUUUCUGAACUUUCCUGGAAGAUCGUCUGCCAUACUCCAGCAAAAGGGUGGAUUUGAAAAAAUAACGUGAGAUCAACACUGUGCCCCUUACCUUGGUGAGAAGGGUGGGAGGGUUAAGAGAAUGUCUUCCUAGUCAGCCAAUGAUUGGUCCCACCUGGCUUAUUUGCUUCCUGGUCUUUUCUACUGGCAGAAUCCAGGCAGCUGCUGGUGACUGUGAUGAGGAGGUGGGCAAGCAAAUGGGUUAAGUCUUCCUUCGGCCGAGUAAAUGCAUACCCAGGCCCCCAAAGAAUGUUCCCUCAGUUUUUUGCCUGAGAUUCUAGUGACAUAAUCCAACCAGUACAGACAGUCCCUCUCUUGCCGACUUCUCUGUAUGUGUUGUCCACAGGUUUUGUCUACAAGACUUAGCUCAUAGACUCUCUAGAUGUCUCAGGUGCUCCACAUGGCAUCAGUCAGCAUCCCCCUUUAUCCUUUCCCACAUUUCUUGUUAGCCUCCUCAGUUUAGGCCCUUGGCCUUGUGGUCAAUUCUCUUCUUUUGAAUUUUCUCGAUCCUCAUCUGUGGAGCUUCUGGCAGGGCUGCUCAUUCUCUCCUGAGGUGUGAUAAUGCUAAAAGAAAGCUCAAGGACUAAGGUUGUGAUGGAACUGGAAAGAGUAGACUCUUUCAGGAAAAAACAGAUUGCUUGCAAAUAAAUGAUAGUUCUUUGUUAGCUUAUAUUCUGUACCUUAUUAUGCCAAAAAGAGGGUCUGGCUCUGCUCAGACUCGAGUUUCAUAACAAAACUUCCCAUUGGAUUACUUUAUGAUUUGUUGCCCAGUAUUUAGGAGAAGAAAGACAGGGGAGAAAACUUUAAUUAACCCACAUAAUGAUAUUUUUUAUUUAUUUUGUUGAGAUAGAAUCUCACUCUGGAGAGGGAGAUCAC